GGUCCGUUCGUCUAGGGGUCUAGGACGCUGGCCUCUCACGCCGGUAACACGGGUUCAAAUCCCGUACGGAUCA
rnacentral:tRNA from 1 species